AUUGAACGCUGGCGGCAUGCCUUACACAUGCAAGUCGAACGGCAGCACGGGUGCUUGCACCUGGUGGCGAGUGGCGAACGGGUGAGUAAUAUAUCGGAACGUACCUUAUUGUGGGGGAUAACGCAGCGAAAGCUGUGCUAAUACCGCAUAAUCCCUAAGGGGGAAAGCGGGGGACCGUAAGGCCUCGCGCAAUUAGAGCGGCCGAUACCUGAUUAGCUAGGUGGUGAGGUAAAGGCUCACCAAGGCAACGAGCAGUAGCUGGUCUGAGAGGACGCUCAGCCACAGUGGGACUGGGACACGGCCCGGACUCCUACGGGAGGCAGCAGUGGGGAAUUUUGGACAAUGGGGGCAACCCUGAUCCAGCAGUGCCGCGUGAGUGAAGAAGGCCUUCGGGUUGUAAAGCUCUUUUGUCAGGGAAAAAACAGCAGCUCUAACACAGUUUGCGAAUGACGGUACCUGAAGAAUAAGCACCGGCUAACUACGUGCCAGCCGCCGCCGUAA
rnacentral:rRNA from 1 species